GGGGAAUAUUGCGCAAUGGGGGGAGCCCUGACGCAGCAACGCCGCGUGAAGGAAGGAGGCCUUCGGGUUGUAAACUUCUUUGAUCAGGGACGAAGGAAAUGACUGUACCUGAAGAACAAGCCACGGCUAACUACGUGCCAGCAGCCGCGGUAAUACGUAGGUGGCAAGCGUUGUCCGGAAUUACUGGGUGUAAAGGGCGUGUAGGCGGGGAGGUAAGUCAGAUGUGAAAUUCCAGGGCUCAACCCUGGAGCUGCAUCUGAAACUAUCUUUCUUGAGUGCUGGAGAGGAAAGCGGAAUUCCUAGUGUAGCGGUGAAAUGCGUAGAUAUUAGGAGGAACACCAGUGGCGAAGGCGGCUUUCUGGACAGUAACUGACGCUGAGGCGCGAAAGCGUGGGGAGCAAAC
rnacentral:rRNA from 1 species